rnacentral:rRNA from 1 species
CCUACGGGGUGCAGCAGUGGGGAAUAUUGCACAAUGGGCGCAAGCCUGAUGCAGCAAUACCGCGUGUGUGAAGAAGGCCUGCGGGUUGUAAAGCACUUUCAAUUGUGAAGAAAAGCUCAGGGUUAAUAACCCUGGGUCUUGACAUUAGCAAUACAAGAAGCACCGGCUAACUCCGUGCCAGCAGCCGCGGUAAUACGGAGGGUGCAAGCGUUAAUCGGAAUUACUGGGCGUAAAGCGUACGUAGGCGGUUUACUAAGUCAGAUGUGAAAGCCCCGGGCUUAACCUGGGAACUGCAUUUGAUACUGGUAGGCUAGAGUAUGGUAGAGGGGGGUAGAAUUCAUAGUGUAGCGGUGAAAUGCGUAGAUAUUAUGAGGAAUACCAGUGGCGAAGGCGGCCCCCUGGACCAAUACUGACGCUGAGGUACGAAAGCGUGGGUAGCGAACAGGAUUAGAUACCCCCGUAGUC